AGCCCGCACGACAAAUUAACGUGCAGAAGCGUCCGAUAAAAAAGAAAGAAAUCCGAAGAAAAUUCAUGGGUGGAUGGAGCUGAGACCGGCGUUCCCAUCCAAAAUCGCACGUCUUCAUCAGAACACAAGGCAUCACAAAGUACUUUUGUCGCACGCGAUUAUCCGACAGAGCCGGAAAUUCGGCACGAGGGAGGCAAGAAAAAUCAAAGCCGCAAUGGUGAAGUAUACAUAUAAGAGACGUAGUCUUGAUAUCCAAUAUAACUAGGUGUUAGACUGCCGUUGUGUAACGAAUAAGGCUGUAGAUUUUAUUCCUCUUUUCUCUUCGUUUUUUGUUUUCUGUUGAGAGUUAGACCAGGCCUUUUCUGUUGUGAUCUGUGAUCCGAAGGACCAGCUCUCCAUGCGCAUUCUUCUCUCCCCCUCAGUUGUAUUCUCUAUAAAUUGUAAACUGAUGCAUCAGUGAGAAUUGUGAAGUGUGGUGCAAUCUCUCUGUCUCUCUCAAA